rnacentral:rRNA from 1 species
AUGGCCGCGGACCCUGCCGCGGACUCCGUGGCUGCGGCGAUCUCCGCUGCGAUGGACUGGCGAUCCUCUCCCGACGCCCGUAACGCCGCCUUCGCCUAUCUCGAAUCGGUCAAAAGUGGAGAUGUCCGAGCGUUAGCGAGCACAUCUUUUCUAUUGGUCCGGAAGCACCAGGCUUCAGAGAUCCGACUGCAUGGGUUUAAAAUGUUGCAGCACUUGGUGAGAUUGAGAUGGGAGGAACUCAGUGUUGCAGAACGAAAUGAAUUUGCUAACUUGACCAUCAAUUUGUUGUCAGAGGUUAUUGGUCCUCAUGAGGAGUGGGCUUUGAAGAGUCAAACAGCUGCAUUAGUAGCAGAGGUAGUUAGAAGAGAGGGGGUUACUUUGUUAAAUACAUUACUUCCCUCUAUUGUUUCUCUGUCUAACACUGGCCCUGUUGAGGCUGAGCUAGGUUCUAUGAUUCUAAGGUGGCUUCCAGAGGAUAUCACUGUUCACAACGAGGAUCUAGAAGGUGAUAAACGACGAGCACUGUUGCGUGGCCUUACCGAGGCACUGCCACAAAUUCUACCUCUGUUAUAUUCUCUAGUUGAGAAACAUUUUGUAGCCGCUUUAAACGAGCACACGAAGCAGCAAAUGAAGUUGGCUAAACAUCAUGUAGGGACAGUAACAGCUGUUCUAAAUGCCAUCAAUGCAUACGCUGAAUGGGCUCCUGUAACAGAUCUUGCCAAAUAUGGUUUAAUUCAUGGAUGUGGGUCCUUGCUUUCUUACAGUGAUUUUCGCCUCCUUGCUUGCGAGUUCUUUAAAAUAGUUUGUCAGAGAAAACGACCUGCAGAUGUCGCAGUUUGCGAGUAUGAUGCAGCAAUGAGCAACAUUUUCCAGGUGUUGAUGAACAUCUCCCAAGAAUUUUUAACCAAAUCUAGGAUGCAGCCCAUGGCUAUUGAUGAAAGUGAAUACGAGUUUGGAGUUUGUAUUUGCGAGACAGUAGUUGCUCUAGGUUCUUCUAACAUGCAGUGCAUACUGGUUGAUGGAGCUAGAACUUCACACUUCCUACAACAAAUGCUGGAAUAUUACCAACAUUACAGGAUUGCACUCCAUUUCCAAUCUUUGUUGUUUUGGCUGGUGGCAUUGAGGGAACCAUCGAAAGCUAAGUCUGUUGCUCGUGUUUCUGGUGACACCUCUCCUGCUGGAAAUUUGGGUUCUGUUGGUGUCAGUUCAACUGAGAAGGAGAAAAAAGGGGUGUCAUUAUUUAUUACCGAUGAAAUAUACAGUACACUAUUGGACGUUUCUUUCAAAAGAAUGCUUAAGAAAAGUGCGAAUUCAUCUUCAAGUCUGUUGGAACUAUGGAAUGAAGAGCUCGAGGGGAAGAGUGACUUCAGCAACUAUCGUACCAAAUUGCUGGAUCUCAUAAGAGUUAUUGCUUCUCAAAGGCCUGUUAUUGCUGCAGCAAACAUUGUACAGAGAAUAAAUGUUGUUUCUGGAGAUGCUAAUCAAACAACAAAAUCCCCCCAGGAUCUUGACGCUAUGGUAGGUGCCCAGCUGGGGCUUGAAACAGUUGUUAGUGCCAUAUUUGAUGGCUCGGGUGAUUAUGCAAAGACUGACCAUGAGGCAAAAUUCCAAAUUCACAGGACUUUUGAAGGCUUACUUCAGCAGCUUCUUUCUUUGAAGUGGACAGAACCUAGCCUCAUAGUUAUUCAUGGUCAUUAUUUGGAUUCUCUGGGUCUGUACUUGAGACAUUAUCCAGAUGUAGUUGCUAGUGUUGUGAACAAGCUUUUUGAACUAUUGACAUCUCUCCCGAUUACAAUUCAGCAACAGGGUCCAUCAAAUAAUUCCCGGCAAGCUAGGUUACAGAUUUGCUCAUCAUUCAUUCGCAUAUCAAGAGCUGCUGAUAAAGCACUUCUGCCUCAUAUGAAGAACAUUGCCGAUACCAUGGCUUACCUUCAAGGAGAGGGCCGCUUACUACGGGCUGAGCAUGAUCACCUAUGUGAAGCAUUUCUUAUUAUGGCCUCCUCGUCUGGGAUUCAACAGCAACAGGAAGUCCUGGCCUGGUUACUUGAACCUCUUAACAAAACAUGGACCCAAGUGGAAUGGCAAACUGCAUACUUGUCUGACCCAUCUGGUUUGACAGACAUGUUCGCUGACACCCAAUUUAUGUGGUCAAUUUAUCACACGGUUACGUUCUUUGAGAAGGCACUCAAACGGAGCGGUACCAAAAGGUCUACAACAGCUCCGCAAGCAGCCAUCACCACAACAACAGCAACUGGUUAUCUGCAUCCGAUGUCUUCACAUCUAUCAUGGAUUCUGCCCCCUCUCUUAAGGCUGCUGAGAUGUAUACAUGCACUUUGGGCUGAGCCAUUUGCUCAGUCGCUGACAGGAGAAAUCAAAGCGGCCAAAAGCAUGACUAUCUCGGAGCAGGCCAGUCUCCUGGGAGAGACAAGUAAACCUACCAAGGGCCAGGUUGCACCUGCUGAUGGAUUACUGGAUGUUCAAAGGGAGGGAGAGUCUAAGGAAAAUAACAUAAGAAACUGGUUACGUGGCGUCCGUGACAGUGGGUACAAUCUUAUAGGAUUAGCAGCUACUCUUGGUGAGGCAUUUUUCAGAUGCAUAGAUGGUUCCUCUGUCAUCCUUGCUCUUAUGGAGAAUGUGCAAGUUAUGGAGUUUCGUCAUUUGCGCCAACUCAUGCACCUUGCUGUUGUUCCUUUGGUUAAAUAUUGCCCUGCUGAACUAUGGCAGAUAUGGACAGCGAACCUUUUGCAGCCAAUAUUUGUUCAUUGUCAGCAAGCUCUUGAUUAUUCAUGGUCCAGUCUUCUACGCGAGGGACGAGCUAAGGUUCCUGAUAGCUUCGGUAAUCUUUCUGGGUCAGAACUUAAGGUUGAGGUGAUGGAAGAGAAGCUGUUACGAGACUUGACUCGUGAAGUUUGUUCUGUGCUUUGGGUUUUAGCAUUACCUGGUUUGAACAGUGGACUUCCAUCUUUGGAACAACUUGGACCUGUCAACCGGAUUGAUUCUUCUCUUAAAAGUCUGGAGUCAUUUGCUUCCAGCUCUCUUACUGGAUUUCUUAUGCUUAAUGUUGGCACUGCCCUUCCUGCUUUGAGAAUAACUGUUGAAGUGUUCAGUUGGACAGAUAGUGAAGCAGUGACUAAAGUAAUACCCUUUUGUGGUGCAUUGAUUCACCUUGCUGUUGCAACAAACCGGGCUGAGCUGAGGCAGUUUGUUGGGAACGAUCUAUUUUCUUCUAUAAUACAGGGCUUAUCUGUUGAGUUGAAUGCCGUUGUUAGUGCAGAGCUUAUUGGACUUUGUCGAGAAAUAUAUCUUUAUCUGUCAGACAAAGAUCCUGCACCUAAACAGGUUCUUCUAUCCCUCUCAGACAUGAAGCAGGAAGAUUUGCUAGCUUUUGAUGAUUGUUUGAGCAAAACUGCUAGUCCAAAAGAGCAGAAGCAACAUAUGCGGAGCUUACUUCUGCUAGCUACAGGGAACAAGUUAAAAGCUCUUGCUUCUCAAAAGACCACCAAUAUUAUCACCAAUGUUACAACUCGAAAUCGGGGCACUGUAGCACACCAUGGACCCAGUGCUGAAGAAGAGGAUCGCAUCGGAUUAGCUGGACUAUCAUAG